UGCAUGUCUCAGUACAGGCCGAACUAAGGCGAAACCGCGAAUGGCUCAUUAAAUCAGUUGUGGUUCAUUGGACCUCCCACUGUCCUACUUGGAUAACUGUGGUAAUUCUAGAGCUAAUACAUGCACCUAAGCUCGGACCCGCGAGGGAAAGAGCGCAGUUAUUAGAUCAAAACCGAUCGGGCCCUCGGGCCCGUACCAACCUUGAUGACUCUGGAUAACCAUUUGCCGAGCGCACGGCCCCCGUGCCGGCGCCGCAACCUUCAAGUGUCUGCCUUAUCAGCUGUCGAUGGUAGGUUAUGCGCCAACCAUGGCUAUUACGGGUAACGGGGAAUCAGGGUUCGAUUCCGGAGAGGGAGCCUGAGAAACGGCUACCACAUCUAAGGAAGGCAGCAGGCACGCAAAUUACCCACUCCCGGCUCGGGGAGGUAGUGACGAAAAAUAACGAUGCGGGACUCUUACGAGGCCCCGCAAUCGGAAUGAGCACAUCUUAAAUCCUUUAACGAGGAUCCAUUGGAGGGCAAGUCUGGUGCCAGCAGCCGCGGUAAUUCCAGCUCCAAUAGCGUAUAUUAAAGUUGCUGCGGUUAAAAAGCUCGUAGUCGAGUGCCGGUGUCGGACCGACGGUGCGCCGCCCGGCGCUACUGUCGGCCUCCCGCGCAGCUCGCCGGCCAGCACGGGGUGCUCUUCACCGAGUGUCCCGGGCGGCCGGCACGUUUACUUUGAAAAAAUUAGAGUGCUCAAAGCAGGCCAUAGUCGCCCGAAUAUCGGUGCAUGGAAUGAUGGAAUAGGACCCCGGUCUUAUUUUGUUGGUUUUGUGAGACCCGAGGUAAUGAUGAAUGGAAACAGUCGGGGGCAUUCGUAUUGCGACGCUAGAGGUGAAAUUCUUGGACCGUCGCACGACGAACAACUGCGAAAGCAUUUGCCAAGUAUGCUUUCAUUGAUCAAGAACGAAAGUCAGAGGUUCGAAGGCGAUCAGAUACCGCCCUAGUUCUGACCGUAAACGAUGUCAACUAGCGAUCCGCCGGUGUCAAUACCAUGACCCGACGGGCAGCUUCCGGGAAACCAAAGUCUUUGGAUUCCGGGGGAAGUAUGGUUGCAAAGCUGAAACUUAAAGGAAUUGACGGAAGGGCACCACCAGGAGUGGAGCCUGCGGCUUAAUUUGACUCAACACGGGGAACCUCACCAGGCCCGGACACCGGAAGGAUUGACAGAUUGAGAGCUCUUUCUCGAUUCGGUGGGUGGUGGUGCAUGGCCGUUCUUAGUU
rnacentral:rRNA from 1 species